CUUGCUCAGAUAUGACGAUGGACAUUGCAAAGAGUGGCGAACGGGUGAGUAACACGUGGGAAACCUACCUCUUAGCAGGGGAUAACAUUUGGAAACAGAUGCUAAUACCGUAUAACAAUGACAACCGCAUGGUUGUUAUUUAAAAGAUGGUUCUGCUAUCACUAAGAGAUGGUCCCGCGGUGCAUUAGCUAGUUGGUAAGGUAAUGGCUUACCAAGGCGAUGAUGCAUAGCCGAGUUGAGAGACUGAUCGGCCACAAUGGGACUGAGACACGGCCCAUACUCCUACGGGAGGCAGCAGUAGGGAAUCUUCCACAAUGGGCGAAAGCCUGAUGGAGCAACGCCGCGUGUGUGAUGAAGGGUUUCGGCUCGUAAAACACUGUUGUAAGAGAAGAAUGACAUUGAGAGUAACUGUUCAAUGUGUGACGGUAUCUUACCAGAAAGGAACGGCUAAAUACGUGCCAGCAGCCGCGGUAAUACGUAUGUUCCAAGCGUUAUCCGGAUUUAUUGGGCGUAAAGCGAGCGCAGACGGUUAUUUAAGUCUGAAGUGAAAGCCCUCAGCUCAACUGAGGAAUUGCUUGGAAACUGGAUGACU
rnacentral:rRNA from 1 species